GUCCAGUGCUGUGCUUGUGGUCCUUGGCGCAGGCUAGUAAGCGUCCAUCAACGGAAGGUACUCGGUCGGAGUACGGGGAGUUCCGUUACAACAUGUUUCAAAUGCUCCCCCCAGGUCUCGCUAUAGAUCGCAAUGUCAUCCAGGUAUGCACAAGCAAAGUCCUGGACGCCAACAAGGAGCCUGUCCAUCAAGCGUUGGAACGUGGCUGGGGCAUUCUUCAUCCCGAAUGGCAUGAC